rnacentral:rRNA from 1 species
GUGGGGAAUAUUGGACAAUGGGCGAAAGCCUGAUCCAGCCAUGCCGCGUGAGUGAUGAAGGCCCUAGGGUUGUAAAGCUCUUUCACCGGUGAAGAUAAUGACGGUAACCGGAGAAGAAGCCCCGGCUAACUUCGUGCCAGCAGCCGCGGUAAUACGAAGGGGGCUAGCGUUGUUCGGAAUUACUGGGCGUAAAGCGCACGUAGGCGGACUAUUAAGUCAGGGGUGAAAUCCCAGAGCUCAACUCUGGAACUGCCUUUGAUACUGGGUACCUAGAGUAUGGAAGAGGUAAGUGGAAUUCCGAGUGUAGAGGUGAAAUUCGUAGAUAUUCGGAGGAACACCAGUGGCGAAGGCGGCUUACUGGUCCAUUACUGACGCUGAGGUGCGAAAGCGUGGGGAGCAAACAGGAUUAGAAACCCUUGUAGUCC